rnacentral:lncRNA from 1 species
UACCCAAAAUUGAAUACUAAACAUAGCUUUGACGUGAUUUGGAAAUAUAUGCCACCUCUAAUAUAAUAUUUUAUAUUAAGUCAGACUGAGUAGAAUUUGAAGCUGUCAUUUCACACUCUUCGCACAAGUUAUUUCCCUUUACCAACAAUAGACUGGCUAUUAACUCAUUACAUGACAAAAUGGGUGGCUGCCCAUGCAAUGCAUACAAAGUUGAACAUAAUAUGUAGGUGUUUUUAAUCAACUUUUACUGGAAAAUAUAGGAACUUUUGAUAUUGACUUGUUUUAGCUUUAAAAAAAAAUGUAAAAAAAUAUUUGAAAACUUGCAGAUACAGUACAGAUAUGUUUGCUCUUUCCACUUGCUCUUCAUUGGCAUUGAAAAGUUAUCUCCCUCCUAGGGGUUAUGACAUAAAUCCCCCAAAUUUCUUUUUAUGCCCCACCUACGAUAGUAGAGGGGCAUUAUGUUUUCUGGUCUGUGGCUCCCGUCGUCCGUCCGUCCAGGUUAAAGUUUUUGGUCAAGGUAGUUUUUGAUGAAGCUGAAGUCCAAUCAACUUGAAACUUAGUACACUUGUUGCUUAUGAGAUGAUCUUUCUAAUUUUUAAGCCAAAUUAGACUUUUGACCCCAAUUUCACGGUCCACUGAACAUAGAAAAUGAAAGUGGGAGUUUCAGGUUAAAGUUUUUGGUCAAGGUAGUUUUUGAUGAAGCUGAAGUCCAAUCAACUUGAAACUUAGUACACUUGUUGCUUAUGAUAUGAUCUUUCUAAUUUUAAUGCCAAAUUAGAUAAUUACCCAAUUUCACGGUCCAUGGAACAUGGAAAAGGAUAGUGCGAGUGGGGCAUCCGUGUACUUUGGACACAUUCUUGUUGUUAGAUAAAAAGGACCAAUGUAGCUUAGUUGUUCAUUUGUACCCUAUCUGUCUUUUUGACAAUCAUAUUUAAUUUAUAGUUUUAUUAUCAAAUCGCCUCUGCCAAUUGAUUAUCAACUGCAUUUGUUUAAUUUUAAUUAUACCUUUAAAAUUAGCAAUUAUUUCUAAAACUUAAAUUUAGAACAGAUAGAAAUAAGGUGCAUUCAUUAUAAAUGUUUUUGACCUUACUACAGCUACUUUUUACAUGAUUUUCAAGGAAUUAAUGUAGCAUUUACUGUCAUACUAUAUAGAUUUUUUUAUGGACUUGUAAAUAUAGACGGUUUUUUUUCUUCAUUUUUUUCAUUUGUAUAUAUUGCAUUUGUUUUGUAUAUUUUAGCGACCAAACAUGUCCAUGUUACUUGUUUUCAAGUUAUUUUGUUAUUUGAUUUAUUGCUGUGCAAAACUGUUAUUACAAUACCAUAGAAGAUUAAACUAAAUUUGUAUUUUCCAUUCAUUUACAAUGAUAACUUGUUCAUAUCAUUGUGGAUGACCUUCAUGAAGGGUCUUAUUAAAAUAUGAUGUUUUAUUAUUGAUAUUUUAAUCUUCUGUAGUCAAAUGAAGAAAAUCUUUCAUAAAUUAGGGGUUUUUUUUUCAAGAUUUUUCUCCAUAAUAUUUACUUGCCAAGAAGGUACAUAAGUAUGGUAAAAUUUCUUUUUUUUUUUACUUUCUAAAAAGUUUGAAACUGAAAUUUAUGUUUAAAGUUAAACAUUCACAAAAUAUUUUUUGGAAUAUUACUUUUAUGUUUUGAUGGACUGAUGAAUCGUAUUCUUUUACUUCUACCACUUUUUCUGGUAUUUUCAUAGUUCUAAGGUCUAGUGAUAUAUCUAGCUACAGCAUUAUUGUUCUAGUGAAGUAUAAGAUAAUCAAUAUUCUAAUUCAUGUCCUUUAAAAUUUUGUUUAUCUGGUAACUUUCUAUUCUAACAACCAGAAGGAUCAAAAAAUAUAUCUGAAUAUAUAUCCACUGUAAUUUCCAUUUUUUUCACUGAAUUUUAAACACAAUUUUAUACUCUCAAAAUGUACAUGGUAACUUGGACAAACAGUAGUUGUAUUUUGUUUAAAUGUCACUAAUGAUUAAUUCUUU